GACGAACGCUGGCGGCGUGCUUAACACAUGCAAGUCGAACGGAAAGGCCCCCUUGUGGGGUACUCGAGUGGCGAACGGGUGAGUAACACGUGAGUAACCUACCCUUGACUUUGGGAUAACUUCAGGAAACUGGGGCUAAUACCGGAUAGGAGCUCCUGCCGCAUGGUGGGGGUUGGAAAGUUUCGGCGGUUGGGGAUGGACUCGCGGCUUAUCAGCUUGUUGGUGGGGUAGUGGCUCACCAAGGCUUUGACGGGUAGCCGGCCUGAGAGGGUGACCGGCCACAUUGGGACUGGGAUACGGCCCAGACUCCUACGGGAGGCAGGAGUGGGGAAUAUUGCACAAUGGGCGGAAGCCGGAUGCAGCAACGCCGCGUGCGGGAUGACGGCCUUCGGGUUGUAAACCGCUUUCGCCUGUGACGAAGCGUGAGUGACGGUAAUGGGUAAAGAAGCACCGGCUAACUACGU
rnacentral:rRNA from 1 species